rnacentral:rRNA from 1 species
UGUGAUGUACCUAGUAAUAUUAGUGAUUAAUAUGAGGCUAACCGAGUUAGUUAAAAUUCUAAGUAUAUAUGUGAUUAUGACAAUAUGUGCUUAUUUCUUGACCAAGUCACGUGCCAGCCGUCGCGGUAAUACGUGGAAGAUCAGUGUUAUUCAUCUUUAUCAGGUUUAAAGGGUACCUAGACGGUUAAUUAAGCUUUAGUAGGAACUAAUUAACUAGAGUUUAAUGUAAGAAUGAUUGAGUACGGUGAGUGUAGAGAUAAAAUUCUGUCAUACCACUUAGGAACUGGUAAAAGCGAAGGCAACUUUCUAUGUAAAAACUGACGUUAAGGGACGAAGGCUCGUAUCAAAUAACAGGAUUAGAUACCCCAGCAUUGUGGGCAGACAAUGAUGAGUGUCAUAUGCAAGAGAUAAAAAAAAAUAUUUUGUGUAUAAAUGAAAGUGUAAGCACUCCACCUCAAGAGUAACGUGGCAACAUGGGAACUGAAAUCAUUAGACCGUUUCUGAAACUCGUAGUGAAGUAUGUUGUUUAAUUAGAUGGUGCACAAAUAACCUUACCACAAUUUGUAUAACUAUAGUACAUAAUAAUAAUAUAGUUACAAGCGUUGCACGGCUGUCUUUAGUCUAUGUUGUGAAACUGUGGUUAGAUCCAUUAAAUAGACGUAAACCCUUACUUUAUUUAUUAUAAAGUAGUUCGCCGCUAUAUUGGUAGUGAUAUAAGGGACUAGGACAAGUCAUCAUGACCUGAACAUUGU